rnacentral:misc_RNA from 1 species
GAUGAGAACGUAGCGAAAUGCGAUAAGUAGUGUGAAUUGCAGAAUUCAGUGAAUCAUCGAAUCUUUGAACGCACAUUGCGCCCCUUGGUAUUCCAUGGGGCAUGCCUGUUCGAGCGUCAUUUGUACCUUCAAGCUUUGCUUGGUGUUGGGUGUUUGUCCUGAGGGACUCGCCUUAAAGUGAUUGGCAGCCAGUGUUUGGUUUUGAAGCGCAGCACAAGUCGCGAUUCAAAGCUAUACGCCCGCUUCCACAAGCCUUUUUCACUUUUGACCUCGGAUCAGGUAGGGAUACCCGCUGAACUUAAGCAUAUCAAUAAGCGGAGGA